rnacentral:rRNA from 1 species
AGUGAACGCUGGCGGUAGGCCUAACACAUGCAAGUCGAACGGCAGCACAGUAAGAGCUUGCUCUUACGGGUGGCGAGUGGCGGACGGGUGAGGAAUACAUCGGAAUCUACUUUUUCGUGGGGGAUAACGUAGGGAAACUUACGCUAAUACCGCAUACGACCUACGGGUGAAAGCAGUGGAUCUUCGGACCUUGCGCGGUUGAAUGAGCCGAUGUCGGAUUAGCUAGUUGGCGGGGUAAAGGCCCACCAAGGCGACGAUCCGUAGCUGGUCUGAGAGGAUGAUCAGCCACACUGGAACUGAGACACGGUCCAGACUCCUACGGGAGGCAGCAGUGGGGAAUAUUGGACAAUGGGCGCAAGCCUGAUCCAGCCAUACCGCGUGGGUGAAGAAGGCCUUCGGGUUGUAAAGCCCUUUUGUUGGGAAAGAAAAGCAGCAGGUUAAUACCCCGCUGUUCUGACGGUACCCAAAGAAUAAGCACCGGCUAACUUCGUG